rnacentral:rRNA from 1 species
GGGCGCAUUUUCUUGGUCAAAGCGAUCCUCACGGCCAUUGCGAUCUACCAUCUCACGCCACUGGAGCUGCCCGCUGAGGUCAGGAAAAAAAUUGACAGUCUGCGACGUGCCUACCUUUGGGCUGGUUGUGAUAAGGUGUCGGGUGGAAAGUGCAAGGUUAACUGGGAGCUUAUUUGCAAGCCUAACAUUUUUGGCGGCUUGGGUGUGCUUAAUCUCGAGAAGUUUGCGACCGCCCUUCGUCUUCGCUGGCUUUGGUUUGAAUGGGUAGACCCUCCUAAGACUUGGAUGGGGAUGGAAACGCCCUGUUCAAACAGUGACAGAGAUUUGUUCUCGGCUUCCACAAUAGUGACUAUCGGGGAUGGCAAAAAGGCUAAAUUCUGGGAAUCCCCAUGGCUAAAUGGUCUCCGGCCUAAAGACAUCGCGCCAAAGAUCUUUGAAGUGUCCAAGAAGAAGGCAUGUUUGGUUAACAAGGCCCUUGACAACAACUUCUGGAUCCAGCAAAUCGACACAACUCAAGGACCGACUUUGCCACACAUCCAGGAGUUUGUGGUUCUGCGGGAGAUGAUUGAUGGUGUUGCUCUCAAUCAUGAUAGGAAGGGCACUAUAUCUUGGAAAUUCACUUCCAAUGGCGACUAUUCGACGGCUACGGCGUACACGGCGCAGUUCGAGGACCAAGUUCUCAGCUCAACCUCUCCCAUAAUCUGA